rnacentral:rRNA from 1 species
ACUCCUACGGGAGGCAGCAGUGGGGAAUCUUAGACAAUGGGGGCAACCCUGAUCUAGCCAUGCCGCGUGAGUGAUGAAGGCCUUAGGGUUGUAAAGCUCUUUCAGCUGGGAAGAUAAUGACGGUACCAGCAGAAGAAGCCCCGGCUAACUCCGUGCCAGCAGCCGCGGUAAUACGGAGGGGCUAGCGUUGUUCGGAAUUACUGGGCGUAAAGCGCAUGCAGGCGGCCUGUUAAGUCAGAUGUGAAAGCCCGGGGCUUAACCUCGGAAUUGCAUUUGAAACUGGCAGGCUAGAGUCUUGUAGAGGGGGUAGAAUUUCAGGUGUAGCGGUGAAAUGCGUAGAGAUCUGAAGGAAUACCGGUGGCGAAGGCGGCCCCCUGGACAAAGACUGACGCUCAGGCACGAAAGCGUGGGGAGCAAACAGGAUUAGAUACCCUGGUAGGCUCUG